GAUCGAAUGGGGAGAUUCAUCGUCAACCUCUUUGGCUUACGUGUGGGUGCGAUGAUCGGGACCUCGGUCUCGCGUCACGCGCUCGCUGCGGCAUGUCCGGAGGGGUCGGCGUGCACUUCUCCCCUAGUAGGACGUCGCGACCCGUUGGGUGCUUGUCUACGGUCCGGUUGGUCGACUGGCGAGUCACGUGCAAACGCGAUCUCGCCAGACCACUGGUUUGCCCGAUUGGCUGCCCGACGGUAUUGAACGAUAAUUAACAUGGUAUUGGGCCGCACAAAGUGCGUUCAGGCCCGUCGUCAGGCUCGUCUCGCUCGGAUUUUCGAACCUGGUUUCGUUGUCGAGUGCUUGACGUGGCUGUUGGGCGACGGUGUCCUCGGACUGGCUCUAAAUAUUCGAACGGAUAUACCUGUCGGCGACGCUACUGCUUUGGGUACUUUCAGGACCCGUCUUGAA
rnacentral:rRNA from 1 species